UAAUAAAUUAAGAUCAACGUGU
rnacentral:miRNA from 1 species